CCUACGGGAGGCAGCAGUGGGGAAUAUUGCACAAUGGGGGAAACCCUGAUGCAGCGACGCCGCGUGAGUGAAGAAGUAUUUCGGUAUGUAAAGCUCUAUCAGCAGGGAAGAAGAAAGACGGUACCUGACUAAGAAGCCCCGGCUAACUACGGGCCAGCAGCCGCGGUAAUACGUAGGGGGCAAGCGUUAUCCGGAUUUACUGGGUGGAAAGGGAGGGUAGACGGCUGUGCAAGUCUGAAGUGAAAGCCCAGGGCUCAACCCUGGGACUGCUUUGGAAACUGUGGAGCUAGAGUGCUGGAGAGGUAAGUGGAAUUCCUAGUGUAGCGGUGAAAUGCGUAGAUAUUAGGAGGAACACCAGUGGCGAAGGCGGCUUACUGGACAGUAACUGACGUUGAGGCUCGAAAGCGUGGGGAGCAAACAGGAUUAGAUACCCCGGUAGUC
rnacentral:rRNA from 1 species